AGCGUAAAGGUGCGGGUUCCGUCUUCAAGGCGCACACCCACCACCGCAAGGGUCCUGCCCGGUUCCGCAGCCUCGACUUCGGUGAGCGAAAUGGCUACCUCAAGGGUGUCGUCACCGAAGUCAUCCACGACCCGGGCCGUGGCGCACCCUUAGCCCGCGUCGUCUUCCGUCACCCUUUCCGUUACAAGAAGCAGAAGGAACUGUUCGUCGCUGCCGAGGGCAUGUACACGGGGCAGUUCGUGUACUGUGGUAAGAAGGCUACUCUCAUGGUCGGUAAUGUGUUGCCUCUUAGAUCUAUC
rnacentral:lncRNA from 1 species